GGACCUUUAGCUCAGUUGGUUAGAGCAGUCGGCUCAUAACCGAUCGGUCCUGGGUUCGAGUCCCGGAGGGUCCA
rnacentral:tRNA from 1 species